AGUGAACGCUGGCGGCAGGCCUAACACAUGCAAGUCGAACGGCAGCAUCAAGAGAGCUUGCUCUCUUGGAUGGCGAGUGGCGGACGGGUGAGGAAUACAUCGGAAUCUGCCUAUUUGUGGGGGAUAACGUAGGGAAACUUACGCUAAUACCGCAUACGACCUACGGGUGAAAGCGGAGGACCUUCGGGCUUCGCGCAGAUAGAUGAGCCGAUGUCGGAUUAGCUAGUUGGCGGGGUAAUGGCCCACCAAGGCGACGAUCCGUAGCUGGUCUGAGAGGAUGAUCAGCCACACUGGAACUGAGACACGGUCCAG
rnacentral:rRNA from 1 species